AGAUGAAGAAGCAGAUGCCCGGCUAUGUAAAUCUGCAACAGAGAAGGCUGGAGAAGAACCAGGAGGCAAGAGAGCCAGCGGAGAAACUUUCAGGGGAUUAGACCAUAACCAUGGCAGAGAACACAAGCAACAGGCAGACCCGACGCUGGCAUAGCUGAGAACUCACAUCUGAUCUGCUGAAAGGGCUGACCUGUCUCCACGAGCUCUCACCAAGCCUCAGAUUGCUGCCUCUCCUCAGCGUGGCUGAACAAUCAACGCCUUCCUGUCAUCAGUGUGGCUGGAGAAUGACUGUCUGAAACCGACUACUGAAGACCCUGUUCCUGUCUUUCAUACCUCUUAGUGCUGGGAUUAAAGGCAUGAGCUUUGUUGCUUUCUUAGACUGACUCAGUUUAGUGUAGCCCUGGGUGACCUUGGACUCAGAGAGAUCCAUCUGCCUUUGUCUCCUGAA